UACAUUUUCCCCAACAAACCAGCGUCUUCUCUUCUUCUCUCUACCGAAGCACCCACUUCUUUUCUCCCCUGUUCUUGCUUUGUUCCACCAAAAACCCGACCUCAUCUCGGCCUCUCACGACCGGUGCCUCCAUCCAGUAGCGAAAUCUUUUGUUCGGAGCUCCAUCGCCGGCCGUGGACCCUAGCUCGCCUGACGCCUCCUCCCUUCCCCACCAGUGAAAGAUCCAGGCAAGUGGGGUUGUGUUUAGAGUUUCGAGUUCACGAAAAGGCUGUUUCUAGUUGUGCAUGUGAGAAUCGGGGUAGAUUUUGAAGUUGGGUGCAAGAAAUUUGGGAACCAAAGCUCUGUUUGGGAGCUAAAAUUUGGGGGACUCGAAGUUCUAUUCCUUUGCGCUAGACAUUGGUUGCUGGAUGAGGUACUGUCGCAUGUUAUUUAGAGGAUUUUCCUCUCCUCCGGUUCUGUUGUGGUUCGGCCUCACCUAUGGUGUGCCGUUUGCAAGUUGUCUGUCUGGUUAAUGGCCAUCAUGGGAGUAGAAAGUCUGCAAGAAAGCUGAGAAAUAUUGUUUUGCUUGGUAGAAGGCCAUGAGUGUUGUGAACAUUUGCUUUGUACCUAGUUGUAGAAUGUUUCUUGUGGGUAAAGACCUACUGUAAUUAAUUUUAGAUGCUGUGGAAGAGUCUUGAGGUGUUGUAAAAGAGAUUGGUGGAGAAAUUUGCAGUUCGGUUGAACUAAAAACAGAAGAAAACAGUAUAAGAUGCUUCUGUUUUAGAGAAAUAUAGAUGGAAAACCUUUUGUUUUGGUGUCGCCUUAAAUUAUGAUGAUGUAGAUAAGGAAAAGAACAAGUUUACUUGAGAGAACAUUCAUUAGAUCAAGUUCGGCAUCUAGUUAUAGCAAGGUUAAUGAGAAAAUGUGUUGGUAAGAGCAUUUACCUUGAACUAGUAAGCUGUACUUUAGAAAACAGCAAUACCUUAGGUGAUUUCACGAGUUUUCUGUAAUUUUCUAGAAAGAAUUGGACAUUAAACUCUUAAUGAAAGUUGUAGGAAAUAUUCUUGAGAAUGACAUAUCAAAAUUUGAGAGUAAAUGGUCAAGGUUAAGGUGGUGAAACGAUAUUUCUUCUGUAGGUACUAAAUCUAAGAGUUGCUGCAGAAUUUUGAGGAGAAGACAACAAAUUACUGCUUUUAAUAUACUGAGAUUUAGGCUUAGGUUUCUUCACGGAAAAUGUUAAUCUACGUCUCUUCUAUAACAUACUGAAAUUUUAUAACAUUCUGAUAAGAUUAAAUAUACUUUCUGUGUCUGUGAUUGAAAUUGCUCAUUUCAGUCUAUAGACUGCUUUGAUCCGAGAAUGUGCAGCAGUUGCUAUGUCGCCUUUAAUGAGAGUUCCUAUAUACUUUGAAGUAUUUAAUUACAUGUGUUUAGACAUGUUUAUGGUUGUUCACAUGCUGAGGUUGUUGGUGCUGCAACAUGGGAAUUGUGAAUGUGUGAAGUUGGCUAAGAGCCAAUGUGAGACCCCGGGUGUCGGGAUGCCUGGAGAGAGGUGACGAAGAGUAGUGGUAGUCUCUCCAGAGGUCUGAGAAGGGUUGAAUAGCUUCUCAGGAGACUCGUGAUGCCAGGUUGGGUGCGAGGGGUACAGGGUGGAGUGUCAUCUCCCCCUGGGUGAUCGUGGACCUCGUGAUGCCAGGUUGGGUGCGAGGGGUUCAAGGUGGAGUGUCGUCUCCCCCCAGAGUAAGAGGUGGCUGAGGAGCGCUCGACGUGUGGAAGAAUUUUGUUUUUGGCUCAACGAGAGGCGGGAUAUUUACUAUUUGUGGUUCAUAGUGCUUUUAUUUAUUUAUUUAUAGAAAUCCCCCUCUUAAUCUCAUCUCCCCACGUGUAAAGAAACCAAGUUUUAUGAUAAAUAGAGUUGAGUAGCUCAA